ACCUUAAAGGCAUUUAAAUCUGGCUUUAGGAGACAGCGAACCCUAUGAUUGCUCAGCCACAGUGGAAAUAAAGGCCAAAUGGAAAAAAAAAAAUUGUAUAGGAAAUUCUUAUCAUCAUGAUAAUCUUCUUCUUCAGACAAGGGAAAAAAAUAUAGCAGCAUUAAAAAUAAACUUUGCACCUCCUGCAAGGACUUGCAUAGGUUUCUGAACUUUAAAUUCAAAGACUGCCAUGGACAUAAUGGAUUGCAAUGUUCUGGCACUUUGGAACAGCAACAGCUAACCAAGACUUGGCCAAAGAAUGCUCUUCUCCUUUAUUUUGCCUGAUGGACUCUCCUGCUAUAAUCCCUACUCACUGCACAGGGAAAUUUACCCCCAGAGCAAGAGCUUGUGAGAGACUUCUUUUGGUAUAAAACGGACACCUUUUUCUUACAUUUCCUGUGUGCAGAAACACCAGGGUUUGUGCAUUGUACUGAUGUGAAAAGACCAUAUCCAAGACUCCUGUUAACAUGCAACAGAAGUGAUAGAUGGAGAUAAUUGGGAAGGAAGCUGCUGUUUUAUGAGAAAUUCCACAUUAAAUUCUGUUAAAUGGUACAGGAACAAAGAAACCCAUAGUAAUUUCCAGGGGGAAAAAAAUAGGGUCAUACCAAAGGCUUAAGAGAAUCAAAAUCUUUUAUUCUAAUUUCGACCUUUUUAAAAAAUACUGUAUAAUAAAUGUACACAUAUAAAGGAUCUAAAAGCCAUACAUUGAAGGAGAAAUUAUUAAUCUUCUUUUUUAAAAAUGACAUGCUAGAGCAUCGUGAUUUUCCUUGGAUGGUUAAUUUUUCUGUGCUCCAGGUUUCCCUUAUUGCAACUUUUUCCCUUGUUGGUCUAUGAUGCCUCAGGUGGAUUAAGCCCAGAUUUUUCCCCCAACAUGCUGUUCAUACUACACAUGUUUAACAGGGCAGCACAGAGCAAUGACUGCUGUUUUGAGAGGUAAUUUCACAGGCAGCAUCCACCACUGUGGAAGAUCAAGAAGUUAGGACAGGAAGUGACCAUGUCACAGGGACCUGCCGCAGAGAAUAUAUCUUCCUGCAGGAUCUUGCCAGGUUGGAGGCUCUUCUGCAGAGACAGCAAGGAGAAAAGGAAGAGAAGGGUUGGUGAAGGUCUGUUCGUAUGGGUAGAGGAUCACAGCUGCUGUGCAGAAACCCUGCUCCACCAAUGGAAUGGAAGGAGAAUUUCUUCUCUUCGGCAUUGAGGGAGAGUCCUGGGGUUAACAGACGUAAUAACCUUGCCUUGGUGGGAUCCUCACAAGUGAAAUUCUGUCUUGUUCUGAGCACAGAGGUGUGGAAUGCCUUCCCCAGAUAUACAGCUAAUUAUAGCUAGGGUAAAAACCUUUCCCUUCAAUUUCCAGUCUGAAGCAAGACUCAGUUUCUCCCUAUUACAACGCAUGUGGCAGUGUCUGUGGUGCACCGUUCUGCCAGUGCUAUUCCCUGCGCUGAUGGACGUUACUGUACAGCUCACAAAAAGACAAUGAAAUGAGUGUGGAGGACUUGCUUUGCCUUAGCUGCCGUGCCGGCAGAAUCCUGACAUGUUUCUGACUGCGUGCAGUCCUGCAAACUAAGCUUUUUGAGAAAAAGGCUACCAAAGCUUUGCGGAAAAGCGUCUUAAACCUCAGGUGCUGCAGCAUCAUCAGGAGCUGAGGCUGGAAUGUAAGUCCAAGUUAAUGAAGCAGCCUCAAAGUUGAGGAGGAAGAGAAUAAACUGCAGCUCUGAGGGCAUUGACUUCUGAGAAUAAACUGCUCUCAGCUGAAAAAUGAACCCUUAGCCCAUGUGUUCAUGGAAUGGAUUGAGUUCAUUGUGGUGCUGAUUUACUGUAACUAGAUGCAAGAUUGAUGCAUCCAGGAGAAACAAUUCCACGUAUCUCAUCUGUCUCUGGAACUGCCCCUUUAAUCUCUUUACUAGAUUUGAUUGUUUUCUAACAAACCAGCAGAUACCUCUAGAGCAGGCUGUGAUGUGAAGACUGACUCAUGGUGGAACUUUUGCUGAGGUGUGGAUUUGGGGCUAGGAGGCCCCGUAAAGAAAAUAAAAGCAUUAUGCAGCACAGUUUGGAAGUUGAUGGCCAGUACAGCUCUGUGAAGGAUCAUGGAGUGAUUCCUCGCCAAAGUGAACUAAAUCAGAAGUAACUCCAUUAAAGCAGGCAGAUUAAAACCUGUUUGGAGGAGAUUAGAAGUGACCCCUGUGUGGGAAAACACAAAGCACUUCAGAUAAUUGUGUGGAGAGCAGGGAGCAGAAAAAAAUUAAUAUCCUGACAGAAAUCUUGAUAACCUGAAAAAAUUGGUGAAAGCCAGGAAAGUAAACAUCCUUUCUUGGAAAAACAAAAAAGACUCCAGACAAUCUCUUGACAUUUAAGGAAGACUUGAUCUCCUAAUAAAGAAAACCUAAAAUAUCUGAAUAGAGCUUGUGGAGGUUCCUCAGGGAAGGAAGAGAAUGCAUAAAAGCAAUCCUCCUUUGGUACUGGGGAGGAAGGGACUGCAGGCUUGGGAGGAAUCACACAGAAGAACAAUGAUAACUUUUUAUUUCAUCCAGUGAAGUCAGUGGCCUGGACUUAGCUCCGCUGAUCAGAGGGCACUUCUAAUAACACCAAGGCUGUGAGUUCAGUCCCUGUAUAGGCCAUUUACUGAAGAGCUGGGCUUGAUGAUACUCUUGACCUCCUUCCAACUCAGAAUAUUCUGUGAAUCUGUAAAAAAUUUAUUCACAAAAAAUGCUCCUACAGAUCAAGGAAAUACUUUGGAAACAGAAGGCAAGUUUCCUGGGGUAUGGAUUCUAGAAACAAAUUCCUCUUUCCAAAACAAAAAAACCUAAACAAACCAAAAAACCAAACAAGAAUUGGGUUCAGUCCAUGGUACUGCCAUUUGGGGACCAACUGCAAUCUGUUUAGGCUCAUAUUCUGCAUUUGCAAGUACUAGAAUCAAAUGCUGACAGUUCUUACUAGUGCGUAAUUAAAUUCUUACUCCCAGUUGAAGCCAUUGGCAAAACUUUCACUGGCUUCAAUCUUCAAUAGUGCUGGAUUAAGCUUUCACUGAAUGUCAUGAGAAUUUGAAAAGCAAAAUCAAUCCAGAUUUUGCAAAGAGCCUCUUUGUUGUGGAUCAAACCAAACUCAUAAAGUAAAAAAAAACAAACAAAAAAAACCCCCAAAAACUUUGCCAUGAAUGCAGUAAGAAUAAUGAAUCAUAUUGGUAUCCUGCAUACUUUUCCAGAAGAUAGACAAACUGAGUCACUUGGGGGUCACAGCAAUAAUCAGAAUUGUGUAAGUACUGUGUAGCAAAAAAUAUUUCUUGGUUAGUCUGCUCUUUUUGGCACAAUCCUUCUGGCAGAAACGUAUAAAUUUAUUUUGUUGUUGCUCAAGAGCUCCUGGUGAGUAAUUUCUGCUCUGCAGAUGAUAUAUGAUGUAGAUGGUUUUUCAAGUCCAAUUUCAAAGUGUAGUGCUGUGGUUUAUCACAAAAUGUUUUACUGUAGUCUAAUAGCUAGAACUCUAAGAAGCCAGAUUCCACUGUUAAAUUUCAAAUAAAUCCCAUCCCUUCCUAGAUGUAUCUCUCAUUAUAAAUUUACAAGUUAAAACCAACGAGAAACAGGAGUGCCUGGCUGUAGAGAAAGUUCUUCCCCAUCCUACACCAUGUGAGUGAAGUCUGCAGAAGUUUGGGAAACUGGUGAGACUGCAGAGAUUUUUCUUAAGGAGAGUGAUACAAAGUAAGUAUUGUUCAUCUUACAGUAACCCCCCUCCAGAAAAUAUCCCAAAAAAACCCGACAAAACAAACCCAAAACAAAUUAAAUAGAACAGACUAACCUUAUGUAGAAAUUGCAAAUUUAUUGUCUAUUAAUAAACCACAGUUAGAGGUGUGUGGAAUGGAAGGUGACCUGAGUUUCCCCUGAUGAUUUAGGGGAUUAUUCUGGUGCUCACUGAACAGAAGCUUGUCAAUAACUGCUGCUCCUGAACCUAUGCUUUGUCAUAGCAGUGGCCUCUGGUCCUUGCUACAAUUCCCUUAGGAUCAGAAGGAAAUUCUCAUCAGAAGGAAAUUCUACCAGGAAAGAUCAAGAGUCCAUUUCUUCAGAGAUGCAAAGGCUAGGAAAACCCCAUUAACAGGAUUUGCUCCUGCUCUACAGUGGUUACAGCCCUGAGAGAGGACUGGACUUUCCACUCUUACCAACUGAACCAUAUCGGUAACACUUCAUCCUUCAGUCCUGUCCCUGAAUUGUCAACAUUUUUCUUUGGCUUUAGUGGUGACAUAAUGGGCUAAGUAGGGCUCAAGCAGAUACUACAUUUCUAAGGGGGGCACCAGAAUAGGACUGCAACUGCUCUGAUCACUCACCAGCAUACCAGGCCUGGACUACCCUUCUUGGCUAUGGGCUUUCUCCUGUCCCCCACUGCCCCAAUAUUCCCAGCUCUCCAUCCCUUGGAUAGAAGGAGUUGUCAGCCUCUGUCUUAGCUACACCUUAGUCUCCUUUUGUCUCCUGCUCCUGCCUGUCAUGUUCCAAGGGUUCUGGGUACACAACAACAGUAUGUAAAUAUGAUUAUACUUCCCGACACCUCCCAUAAUACAGUAUCAGCUCUAUGUUGUUUAUCAGUAAUUUCUGAUUGGAAAACAUGUAUACAGUCAAAAUGUUUUUACUUAGUGCGUUUUGCCUUCUGAGAUACUUAAUCCUUGCUUUUAUUCCUGUUACAUUUCCACAGUUUUCUGGCAGGUUUGUUUUCUUUUUCAGAGUGUGUGAAUUUUACCUAACAGAGUGCACGGUAGAACAAAACAUUUAUUUUUAAAUGUUUAUGGGAAUAAAAUAAUACUGCUAUUAUCUACACCCUUGAUUACCAGGAUUAUCUCGUAUAUAUACAGAUCCUCCAGAUAGGCAGAUUAAGUGAUCAGAAGGUUCUUAGUGGGCCCUAGGCUCCGAGCAUACACUAAAGAGGAUCAAGCCUGCUUUAAUUCAUGUGCUGCUUUGCUAAUGCUCCUGCUCUUUCUCAGGAGAAUUUCUGAAAUAUGUUAUCUGGGUCCCAGUGUGGUCCAGUGAGUUGUAUAGACAGUUUGGCUUGGAUGGACAAUAAAUUGGGGCUGACUUGGAGCAAUAAUGUAUGAAGAAACAUGUAUUUUGCUUAUCUUGGGCUUGAGAUACACAUCUUUCACAUUUGUUGGCAGACCUUGAGCAUCUUGUUCUUGCUCAGUGUUGCUAACAAAUGCCUCUAGAGUCUGGUGAGAAUGCCUCUUUGUAGCCAUUCACAAAUCCAAGGUGUUUGAGGGAGCAUAGGAGAGGACCAGCUGUGUCCCUUAGAGAAAGAAAAAAGUGGAACAAAGGCUUUUGCUAACCGAUUGAACAGUUUUUAGGCAGGUAGUCGUACUUGCUUAUAAAGAAAGUUUCUGAGAAGCUGACAUUUCCCCAUGGCCCUGCUAGCAUGUAGCAAUUUGAACAAUGAAUAUAGGAAACCACCCUGCAAAUAUGAUUUAUCCACCAGCUUAAAAAAAAAAAAACCCAAACAACACAUGAUUGCUUUCUGACUAGGAUAUGUGCUCUGAAUUGCUUAAGAAUUUUGAGAAACUUUCUUUAUAGAGCUUUAAAAUACAAUAACGUAGAGAUGAAAGACUCCUUUAGAAUUAAUGAUGGGGACAGAACUGAAGUGACAUCCAUGUUGAAGUGCCACUAUCUUAAAUUGUUCUUUUCCAGUUACUAUGUUUCUGAAUGUGUCUGUGGCUGCCAGUCUUUGUCAUGUCUGCUAGCAAAUAUUGGAGCUAGAAGAUGAAAAGAAAUGUGCAGCAGUGGAGUGUGUUAUGGGGUAGGAGUGAGCUUUUGACACUGAGCCUAAGAAAAAAAAUAAAUGGAAAGAUCUUUUUGCUUAAGAAAAAAAAAAACUACAUGAAAAUUUGGACUGAUAAAAGAGAAGUAGACAAGAAUAGAUGAAUAGAUAAAGUGCCUUGAAAGGAACAAUGGGGGUGGAUGCAACUGUUGAGGAAAGGAGGUCCUGUGUAUGUGAGAAAAAUUUCACUGUACAUCAUAAACAGAGGUAGAAGACUUGAGUUUAAAAUUCAAGAGUAGGAAAUCAUUGAAAAAGGGCUCUAGAAAGUCGAGGCAGCAAAGAAGAACUGACAGUAGUGCAAGUUCAGUAGCGGUGUUUUGAAAAGAUUAGGCUGUAGUGAUUUCAUUGGGUAACAUUCCUUUCCUCACUUCUCUUGUUUCACAGGGAGGAGGGUAAUCUCUCAUUUAUUUAUAACUAUCUCAUAUCUGAGAUGAAAGUCAGAGCUGGUUAUGGUUGGCCCCAGAAUCCACCAGAGGUACAGAGUCCUGUGAGAAAUCCUUACUUGUCAAGCCUCUAAUUUUAUGCUCUGGCAACCUUAUGCCAUAGCAAUAAACUCCUUUAAGACCCAGCAACCAACCCAGUUACAAUGCCAAGCUGCCCAGUUUAAUUUGAUCUUGAACACUGGCUUUUGGUGUAGGAACAGUGCUGUGAAGCAGAGGUGCACUUGUAUGACUACAUCUGCAGAGUGAAAACACAGCCUUCCAAAAUACCUUCUGUCUGUCCUUUUGGUGUUCUGCUUAAUGACCUCACCCAAAUAAAAGGACCAUACCUUCCAAAAAUGUUAUAAUGGAGGCAGAAAGCAGUGUUCUUUCCCAAGGGCAAAACUGAGAAUAAAAAAAAAAAACAAAACAACAAAAAAAAACCCAAAAAAACCCCCAAAAAACAAACAAACAAAAAAAAAACCACCCCCACUGUUAAGCAAGACCCUCCUUUCUGUUUUUAAUUUCAGAAAAGCUAGUUUGGUAAAGCUUCUACUGGAUGGCUUUCAAAUGCAAAUCCUCCAGGCUACUUUAGGCGAACUUGAUACCGUCUUUGAGUCAGACUAGUCUCUUAAAAUGCAGCAGGACCAAAAAAGGACUUGUGAUUAAGGAGACUGCACAUCCUUGGUGUCCUGGAAGCAUGCCAGGGUAUGAGAUGAUAUUUCAAUCCUUUGCAUUCCCGAGAAUGUCCUUUUGUCCCAUGAAAGGCUGACAUCUUCCUGUGUCAUAACGAAAUGGUGAGGCAGGGAGGGAGGUGUCUGUCUAAUGAAAUCAGUCUGGAGACCAGCUAGAUCUGCUGGUAGGGUGAUUGACUGUUGCUUUUCUGGGCUCUCCAAUGAAGGGGUGUCGGUCUCUGGUGCUCAUUUCUGUCCUCUGCCUGCCCCCUGUUGGCUGGUCCACUACAUCGGCAAUGGACCUGGCAUCCCCCUUGUGCCGUACUUGGAAGGGCUGGACGCAAAUGAAAAGGAUUUUCAAAGGAAGUCAUCACUAAAAUUAAAAAAUCGUCUUUUUGUGUGUCCCUUAAUGUGACAAAAAGUGUUGCGGUGGGGUUUUCUUUUGUUGUUGUUUCUGUUUUUUCUCUUGCCAAACUCUGUAUGGUUGAAGUUUAAAAGGGUGAUGACUACACAAUUAAACUUUUGGAAUGCUAUUCUGGAGGCUGGCAGCUGCUUUCAUUUCUGCUUAGACUUCCUUUAAUUUCUGAUUCAUAUUUUCUUUCAGUGGCUUUCUUGCACACAAAUGCCAAAAUUGUUGCUAACUUUAUAAGUACAAAAUGGCUACAUCUGCUAGAAAUCACCCUCGUAUGAAAUAGCUGCAUCGAAAAUUCCAGACAGGUAAGCUCUUCUCAUGUUAUAUUCAACAUCUAGAAAUGUGAAUUUCCGAAAGUUCUACCCUCAGCUAUUCAAAUACAAGUUGUACUGCGAGGGGUGGGAACUUCAACAAGCUUAUCGAGGGGAGAACUGAGGCAUUUCUGCUGUAAAGGAGCUGGGAAAGAUGUCAUUUUUCUGCUACCAUAACCUAUCUCCCCACAGAUCCUCCUUUAGAAAAACAUGAGAGCUCUCUUCCUUGAUUAGAGGGAAUCUAACUCAGUGUACAAGGCUGACAGGGCUACCAGCAGAUGCUUAGGAAAAGUACAUCAGCACAGGGCACAUACAGCAUGAUCUUUCCUUUGGUGCAUCCUCUUGCCAUCCAGAAGCCACCAUUUUUGAGACUUUUUAUGCAGAGGCUGGAUAAGGUCUGUCACUUUUAUAGCCACCAAUGAACUAACUCAGUGUUUAAAAGUUGCCCUGUUACUUGUAAGUAUUCACCAGUACUCGCUAACUUUGAAAUUCAUGAAGCUCUAGAUACUUCUCUCUACUGUUAUUUGACUAAUGUAUCAUAAGUAAUGCAGUGAACUAAUCUCCCAUUCUGGAGCACAUUCCAAUUCUAUUUUCUCAGCUAAAAUCCUCUCAUGCUCCUCCUCCUCCUCACUGUGGUGUGCGUGGGCAAUUUACAUCCAGCUGUGGAUGGCAGCUGGCCCACCUCACAAGACAGCUCUAUGCAGCUGUUUUUUCAAGAGAUGUAAGGUGGUCAGUCACUGACAGGCUGCCCAUAUUGUUGUUUGUUAUAGGCAAAAAGUUUUCUGUCAGUCUCUGCAGUGGGGAAAUACAUGUAAUGAUGGUCCUGUUUUGCCCCUUUAAGCAUACAGCAGGAGCAGGAAGAUCCCUUGUCAUAACUCGAUGCUGUGUGUAAUGGACAUGUCUCCAUGAUGGAUCCUAAGGUGCCUAUAGCAAUGACCACAGUAACUUAGAUGUUAACCGUACCAGCCUUAUCUUGUGUGACCACAUUAUAAGGUAUAGAAGCUAUAACUAUUUUUCAAGCUCAAUUAGAUUCCGGGGAACGGCAGCAAUCCAAGAUGCAGAUCUUUCUCAAGCCUCCAAUUUAAAGUGAUCAUGAGGUGAAAUGGAGCCAAGAAGAGCCAAGUAAGAACCUCCAAAACUCAAGCUGUCAUAAAGACAAUGUCCUUUUAGCAGAUGAUGCAUAGGAGGCCAAGAGAAGUGGGAUAAGCGACAGUGCUAUGACACAUUUUUCCAUCAGAAGCACAGCUCUGCUUCCCAGGCUUUCUAGGAGUCCUCUCUGGUGGCUAUGCCAAUAUAUUCUGCACUGCACCCCAGGACAGCUGGAGGCAGGUAAUCUGACCUACCUGGUAGCCAGGUGAGACUUUUCAGCAACUGUUGACUACAAAAGACAAAGAUCAUGCUGUCAAGCAGAAUUACUCUUUUGAGACAGGAAAUGGCUAGAAAUAGGAUGCAAAGCUGAUGCCCAGAAAAGGUAAUGGGAAAAAAACAUGCAUGCAAUCUAUGAGCAUGGAUUCUUUGUUCCAGCAGGUGCCAGUCUGCUGCAUUUGCAGAUGGUAUAUCAAGGGAGCCCCAAUGGCUAGUUAGAGCAAUUCCUGCACUAAUGUGAACAGAGAUUUUGAUUUCACGGUCUGAAAUAAAAUGACCCAAAUAUAAUGAUGCAAGCUUAUUAAUUUAUUUGCUAUGGGUCGGUAACCCUCCAUAGUCUAUAGCAUGAGUUACAUGAAGGGACAGGGGGAUUUAAACUCAAAUUUAACAGAGUUGGAUUUCUGUAUGGAAAUUGGAAGAAACGAAGCACUAAAUUGCAUGUUUUAUGAUGAUAUCUUAUUAAGAAAAAAUUAAUGCCCAACUUUGAAAGCACCAAACUAAUUCUGAAUGGAAGCAGUAUAAAAAGAACAGCCUCAUGAAGAUUUGAACUAAAUGAUAUAUAAGCAAGUUAUGCCCCCCUGUCCAGUGCUGGAAACAUGGACAAACCUUGAAAGUUACCAGCUUAGGAUGGCCAAUAUAAGAUGGGCUUUCUGUUUGCAGAGGCAAUUUCUACAGUGGUGCCAGAGGCACUGGCAAACUUAGUAAAGUCAGAGUACUGCAUAAAGCGUGUGUCUUGGUUUUGAGACAAGUUUCAGGAGAAAAUGCCCUGGAAUGAGCAUUUCCUCUAAGCAGAAAGGACUUCAAUAAUUCCCUUUUCUUUCACCAAUGAGAGUAAUGGAUACCAGGGGGCGAAAGUGAAUAAAACACAGUUUAUUAACAGAAGAAAAAAAAAAAAAAACCCAAAAAAAACCCAGGUGCCUGCAAGGCACAAGAAAAGAAAGAAAAAAAAUUGAAUAAAUGUUAGAUAUUGAAAUUGUGCAUGGCAGCCUGUGUUCCUCUUGAUGACACCUGAUGCUUUGUCCUCAGGGCCCUGUGAGCAUUUCAGAUUUCGGUAUACGGAAACAUUAAGAUCCUUCUCCUACAAAGCGUGAAUGGGGUUAUUGCAUCAGACUUCUUCCAUUCCCAAUGCAAUAGGCUGUUACGAUAUUAGGUGUGUGCACUGAGUGAAUGACUAUGGUCUAAACACACUGCACUAUGUUUGUAGGCUUAAACAAGACAGAGAGUCUGUCCCACACAAAGUCAAACAGAACAGGGAUGAAAGGUGUUGGGCAUUUAUUCUGGGUGCUGCUAAACACCUGUGGAGCCUUUGCUGGCACUCUCAGGAAACUAUUACAUCUGUGUGUCAGAGUGGAGGAGCCACUUGAUCAAUGCAUAGAUCACAGAAUCAAUUAGGAUCACAGAAUGUUCUGAGUUGGAAGGGACCCCAAGGAUCAUCCAGUCCAACUCUUAAGUGAACGGCCCAGAUAUUACAGUAUACUUUUUUCACAUGCAAAAGCUGGCCCUGGAGGCCCUCCCUGCUGAACCUAGAGGUAGUUAGGACCUUCACUUAGAGCACCCCACAAGGGCACAAACUUUGACCAUUGUGAACUUGAUUUGAGCCUGAGAGCCAGAAGCAAGGGAACUGCACACCUGUGCCAACUCUUCAAACUAUUUUUUAAGGGCUUUUAUCUUACGUGGUAAUGCAAAACACUAUUUAGUGUUUCUUCCUUCAAAAUUGUUUUGAUAUGUGGGAUGGUAAAUCAAGGGAGAAAACUUUCCAGCAGGGAUAAAAAUUAAACCUCAUUCAUUUUACCCUACUUUCUCCAUUUAUGUGUAGGAUACAUAUGAUGACUAUGUCAGUGUUAAUGGUGGAGUUCAUGGCUUCACCUCAAAAGAGACUUCAUACCUAAGUGACAUUCUGGUGGCCUCCAUAAUAUAGGCUUGCUCAUAAACUUAAUAGUAGAUAAGACAGUUAAGUGUCUUUCCUGAGAAGAGGGAGCUGUGAGGUUGAGCCCUUUUAGAUAUAAAGAACAUCAAACUGGAACUCACUUCCUGGAUAAGCAUCCUAAGGAAAGGACUGUGCCUGAGGUGUGAUAAUGUUCUAGUUCCUCUUCCAGUGUUACUAAUAGAGUCUUUUUUUGAGGUACAUACAGCCAAUGGGAGAUAGCAAGUUCCAAAACUCAGCAUACACAUUAGUAUUUAUAGAAUUUUUUGUGCCAUAUACUGUAUUUAGGACUGACCUUGAUAAUGGUGAUUUAUCUAGCCUUUUGAUGGAAAAAAACCUUGCUGUUAAAUUAAAUGAGUGCCUUUUUUAUUAUUAUUGUUUUUUUAAGCGGGUCUGGACUACUGCACAUGGCUGUAAUGCUCUCCAAAAUGGAAGUAAAGAUAAUGCAUUUGACUUAGGCAAUAAAACUGAAUCCUGCAGGUGAUCAUUUGAUUGCAAUUCAUAGAAGUUUAUUAUAGAAAUAUAAGAAGGAAUAACAGCAUCGCUUUAGAAUAAGAUAAAAAAACCCCUGACCCUAAUCUUCUCUCUGCACUGAAAUGAAACCCAGAAUUAUUCCAAAUUAAUUUUAUAGAAAGAGUCAUAUCAGGUCUCUACUCAUGCUUGACAUUUUACCAAGUUCUUUCCCUCCUGGCUUUUCUCACAGGACACAAUGAAAUUUAGCAUUCAUGAAUUGCUCAGGGCCUUUUGUAAAAUCCCAGCCCAUGAUAUCAGCACCUUCUUUGCUUGUUCUGGAGAUCUUGUUGCUGAACUCAGAUGUUUCUUCAGUCUCUAGCUGGGGUCUGCUUGCCAUUGCAUCCAAAUCCCACAUCUUCCAGGGCAGAUAAGUUGCUGAGGAUGCUUCAUCACCACAAGAUAGAGUGAACAAUGGGCUUUAUGAUGCUGGUGAAAAGGGGCAUGCAGAGAAAUCCGAAGACUUGUUUAUGCCUCAGUGGUUUCUGUGCAAUAUAGAAUCAUAAGAUAGAGUAAUUUAUGUUGGAAAAGAGUCUAAAGAACAUUGAGCCCAAACAUAAACACAACACUACCAAGUCUACGCCUAACCAUGUCCCUGCAAGAGUAUACCACAUUCAUUAGUAGUCAUUUACCUUACUACCGUAGGUGGCGCAGAUAAACUAGCAUUGCAAUACCAAGCUUGAGGGAUGCUCACUGCAGCUGCAGCAGAAUGCAUCAAGGCAUAGUUGCAACUUAGGCUGGAGGUGCUGAAGUAGCUCACGCAGUUCCACACUAUAUCAACUAUCAACUUCACCCUUUAGGGUAUACAAGCUGUCUGGUUUAAAGCUCUGUCUGCAUGAUCUCUGCCUUCAAUGUUGUAUACUCCAUGGUUGUAGAGAAAGAGUGGGAGCAGGGAUAACAGAAGGCUUUAGUGAAGCAUUGAGCUAAGGAAUAGAUAUAUGUAAGUCUUCAAUUUUCAUGACUCUUGUUCAGUGGUAAUGGUCAGCUUGGAUGAAGGAAACUGUAGGAGCAAAAAAAUGACUCUGCCAGGGGAAAAGGUUGGAUUGGCAAUGGUUAGGUUAAACCAUUACUCUCAGGAAAACACUUAGGAGAAGCCCACUCACCAUGGCUGCAUAGACUGGUCAUUUUAAAAGUGGAGAUCUUACCUGAUAGGCUUUCCACAAUUUUUCUGCCUAGAACCUGCAUUUGGCUGCCAAAGGACAGCUGAUGUACUGGUAGUGUUGCUCCCAUAGUGCCACGGUUGUAACUCUUCUGUUGCAUAACAGAACUCCUCAUCAACGCCUCACGGCUGCAGGGUCAGGAUUUAAUUAAAACAUCAUAAAGAUGUCUUUGGCAAUCUGGACACAAUAUUAUUCUGAAUGCAAUGCAGUAUUGCAGGAAAAAUGUCACUCUUGUCUACUCGUGUGUACCCCGGGCACGAUUCAGGUAACCAAUAAUGACUAGCCAUAGGAUCAAGUAGAUGAUACAGAGUAAGCUUGGUUUCAUCAAUAUAUAUAAGGUGGACUAAUUUCCAGUAUGCUUUUGUAAGCAGCAUUUGCUUGAAUUCUACUAGAAAAUAAAAAUAUACUGCCAAAAUAAGAGUGCUGAAGCCUGAGAAGGGGAAGGAGCAAAAUCAGUCUGCCUGCUUGAAAUCUUGUUUGAAACACCUUAAAAGGUCUCUGAACUUACUUACAGAACCUUACAGAACUUACUUCAAAAAAAUCCUAGGAACAUAGUUAGUGACUAAUUUAAUUAGUUUCAUUUUGUUAUAAAAUGCAUGAGUAUGAAGUGGAGAAGGAUAAACUGGUACCACAGUUACCCCUAUGCCUUCACCUAGAAAAUUACAAAGACUGUGUUUACUUCUGUCUCUGGUCCAUUCCUGUUAAGUCGGAUAUGUGCUAUCUCCUACAUCCCUGGUUUUGAGCUUUAUUCCUGAAAGACUUGAUUCACUACCACAUAAGUUACAUUUCAUGCUGACAUAAUUCCACUGAUUUCAGCUAAAUACUGUGAACUUAUCUGGUGAUAACAGAGGAGUAAUUAAAAAAAUAUAUUGUAAAAGUAUUAUGGUUUCUUUUUGAUUUUAAAUAGUUCAAUUUUGUGGUUCUGGCUUUUAAGAAUUAAAAUGAUCCGCUCAAUGACAACAAUG